AUCCUGCCUGUUCCCCACCCCUGCCUUUGUGUCCCUGAUGGUGACCCCUCUCUGUCCCCAGGGAAAAGUCCCAUUCGUGGCUGAGCACAGGCUGGUUUACCAUGGUGAUUGCGGUGGAGCUGUGUGACCACGUGCACGUCUAUGGCAUGGUCCCCCCUGACUACUGCAGCCAGCGGCCCCGCCUGCAGCGCAUGCCCUACCACUACUACGAGCCCAAGGGGCCCGACGAAUGUGUCACCUACAUCCAGAAUGAGCACAGCCGCAAGGGGAACCACCACCGCUUCAUCACGGAGAAGAGGGUCUUCUCGUCCUGGGCCCAGCUGUACGGGAUCACCUUCUCCCACCCCUCCUGGACCUAGGCCACCCGUCUGUGGGGCCACCCAAGGGGCUCAGGAGAAGUGGAUCUGGGCCCAGCCACUCUACCGUGGGCCAUCUGCUGACCAGCCAAGGCUGCUGGAGUGUCUUCUGGCCAGUCAGGGCCUUGAUGAGGGUGAACCCUCCGGCCAGUCAGAGGUCCUGGGGCGUGUCGGCCAAUCAGGGAUUUGGGAUUCUUUGUGAUUUAUCAGGGGAGUCUGUCUUGUCCAGUCAGGGUCUGAGCGUAGUCAAUCAGGGUCUAGGGGUUUUUCUGAGUCAAUCUGAGGCUAAGGACUUGUCCUUUCCCAUGAGGCCUUGGUUCAGAGCCCCAGGAAUGGGCCCCAAAUCACUCCCUCCUGGGACAUUGGGCUGUGAACUUACCGUUGCCCCCCUCAGUUCUCAGCAUCAGGAAGGGAGAUCGUGUGGGGGUGGGAACUGUCUGGAGGCUGGGUCAGAGAAUUCGUGGGUUUAUGGAAGUUAUUGGGAGGCCCAUGAGAUGGGAGGCUGGUGUCCAGGCCACGCUUUCCCUGAGUGGCCUUGGACAAGCCCCCCACUCUCCGGGCACCUCUUCCCCUCCAGGUUCUCAUAUGGGACCUGAGACCCUCCCACCUCCCCCGCUGCUGCCCUGUUCUCAGGAGACGGGGUCCCCCAGCUGCUGUCCCUCACUGGGGGGGCUGGGUCCAGGGGGCAGGAGCGGCUUUCCCCACCUCCUCCUGGAAAACUUUAGGGUAUUUUUGCGCAAACUUCCCCGGGGGAGGGAGGACUGUGGUGAGAGUGGGACCCACCCCAGUGGUCCCAGCCCUCAGCUCAGCUGCCGUCGCUUGGCUCUUGCGGGCCAGGCUUCCUUUCCUACCCUCUCAGGGGAGAGGUCUCCACCUGUCAGAGGAGCCUUCAGGGCUGCGAAAGGGGGAUCCCAGCCACACGGGGGCUCAUGCGGCCUUUGUUUGGAGAUGCCAGGGGAGCCAGGAGCCGUCCCAGCUGGGGCUAGCUCCUCGCUCAGGCACUUUAUGAAGCAGGUGCUGGCGGGGGCGCAUCUGCUCCCUGCUCUUCCAGAUCCCGGAGGGGAAGGACUUCCAGGAAGAGGCUGCGGAGUGGGGGGUGCCUGGAGGCCAGCUCCGGCCAUUGCACACACGGGGUGAGGGGGGCGUGCCAACCCCAGACCUGGUUUUGUAAUGAUUUGUAAAGGAAUAAACACCUAAGCUCCAGC
rnacentral:lncRNA from 1 species